GGUAAGGUGGCCGAGCGUCUAGGCGGUGGGUUGUAAAUCUACUUAGGGGGUUUAACUCCUCUCUUGCCA
rnacentral:tRNA from 1 species